CAACAUUACAAUGCAGUAUAAGUUUUCUAAUUACUGAUUUUGAGUCUUUGUCUGGGAAUGAAGGCCAGGAUGUUAACCACCACAAGCAGAUUCCAACUUCGCCCAAGGAGAAGAACAAAACUAUAAAGAUGGAAACCCUGGAUCCCAAAAAUAUUUUGAAUUUGCUUCCUGGCUUUACAGCUGAAAAGGCUACUAAAACUGUAAUUGUUUUUGCCAGAACUGAUGACAAUGUAAUAGCAAAGAUAAUAUUGAAAACAGUAUUCUGAAGCAAGCAUGUGAUCUUCCCAGGAAUGCCAAUGAAUAACAUGGGACACAGGAAAGAAAGCAUGAGAGAAGAGAGGAUGAGGUAACUUAGAAACCUAUUAUUGGCUCGUACUAUGGGUGAAUGUCUGUGCAUUAUGAAAAUACCAAGUAUUGCAGCAGUAAUAAAAAAUAACACAAGUGGAAACAAUGUCAAC